UACGAAGGGGGCUAGCGUUGCUCGGAAUCACUGGGCGUAAAGCGCACGUAGGCGGAUUGUUAAGUCAGGGGUGAAAUCCUGGAGCUCAACUCCAGAACUGCCUUUGAUACUGGCGAUCUCGAGUCCGGGAGAGGUGAGUGGAACUGCGAGUGUAGAGGUGAAAUUCGUAGAUAUUCGGAAGAACACCAGUGGCGAAGGCGGCUCACUGGCCCGGUACUGACGCUGAGGCACGAAAGCGUGGGGAGCAAACAGG
rnacentral:rRNA from 1 species